rnacentral:rRNA from 1 species
GACGAACGCUGGCGGCGUGCUUAACACAUGCAAGUCGAACGGAAAGGCCCUGCUUUUGUGGGGUGCUCGAGUGGCGAACGGGUGAGUAACACGUGAGUAACCUGCCCUUGACUUUGGGAUAACUUCAGGAAACUGGGGCUAAUACCGGAUAGGAGCUCCUGCUGCAUGGUGGGGGUUGGAAAGUUUCGGCGGUUGGGGAUGGACUCGCGGCUUAUCAGCUUGUUGGUGGGGUAGUGGCUUACCAAGGCUUUGACGGGUAGCCGGCCUGAGAGGGUGACCGGCCACAUUGGGACUGAGAUACGGCCCAGACUCCUACGGGAGGCAGCAGUGGGGAAUAUUGCACAAUGGGCGGAAGCCUGAUGCAGCAACGCCGCGUGCGGGAUGACGGCCUUCGGGUUGCAAACCGCUUUCGCCAGUGACGAAGCGUGAGUGACGGUAAUGGGUAAAGAAGCACCGGCUAACUACGUG